UGAUCGAUACAGAAUAUUAUCCGCGAUCGAGACAAAUUUCAGUUGCGCAAAAUCUUUACGGCGAAACGAACGCGAGACCGAGUCGUCGGAUACCAACGUCCCCAGGUUGUACGGCCGUAGGAAAGCUUCGUAUGAUUUCGCACGUUGUAGCUCUUGAAGAGCGCCAUUGAAUUUUCUCAUCUCGAAUUCGCCAACAACGGGAUUCGUUUUUUGUAGCUCGGCUCCACGAUCACACUCUAUCGACCCCGGGUGUUAAUAACUUUCUUGCGUCGAGUCCUAAAUAGAUCCGCGUAAGUUCGCAAUUCGUGU